rnacentral:tRNA from 1 species
UCCCAGGUGGUCCAGUGGUUAGGACUCUGCACUUCCAAUGCAGGGGGGGUGGAUUCAAGCCCUCGUUGGGGA